rnacentral:rRNA from 1 species
CCUACGGGAGGCAGCAGUGAGGAAUAUUGGUCAAUGGGCUUACGCCUGAACCAGCCAAGUCGCGUGAGGGAAGACUGCCCUAUGGGUUGUAAACCUCUUUUGUCAGGGAGCAACGCCGGCUACGUGUAGCCGGACUGAGAGUACCUGAAGAAAAAGCAUCGGCUAACUCCGUGCCAGCAGCCGCGGUAAUACGGAGGAUGCUAGCGUUAUCCGGAUUUAUUGGGUUUAAAGGGUGCGUAGGCGGACUGCCAAGUCAGCGGUAAAAUCGCGGGGCUCAACCUCGCUCCGCCGUUGAAACUGGCGGUCUUGAGUGGGCGAGAAGUAUGCGGAAUGCGUGGUGUAGCGGUGAAAUGCAUAGAUAUCGCGCAGAACUCCGAUUGCGAAGGCAGCAUACCGGCGCCCAACUGACGCUGAAGCACGAAAGCGUGGGUAUCGAACAGGAUUAGAUACCCUAGUAGUC